rnacentral:lncRNA from 1 species
UGUCCUUCCUUUGAGCAGCCACUGAGAGGGAGAAGGAGUUGCAGAGAUCAGGAAGGAGAGGAUUUAUUUCCAGUUUUCUGGCAGUUUUUCCUCACUCUUUCGGAGACCUAGGAUGGGUUAGGAGAGGGCAUGGCAAAGGCAGAGGUGGCUCUGCUAGAGGAGGCCGCAGGUCCGCAGGCCGAACCUGGGGAGCCAGCCAUGUCUGGCCUGAGGCCCUGCUUUGAGGAGAAGAUAAAGCCUUGAGGAGCCUUUUGGGCCGAUCUGGGAACCCAGCAAGACUAGAUUAGCCUGACUGAUGACAGACCUGGGAUGAGGAUGAGGGCAGUUAAGUAUUUGUUUAAUCUUGCUUUGUCUUUUCAAACAGCGAUUUAGUAAUCCUGUUUGAGGCUGCAGUGUGGCAAUGCUUUCCAGAGGAUGGAGUCCUUUUUGUUUGUUUUGAAAAAAUAGAGAUAAGGUUUCACUAUGUUGCCUAGGCUGGUCUCAUACUCGGCCUCAAGCCAUCCUCCUGCCUGGGCCUCCCAAAGUGUUGGGAUUACAGGCGUGAGCCAUGGUGCCAGACUGGAGUCCUUUUAUUAAAAUUAACUGCCCUGCUCAGCUUUCUGCUGGGCCACCCCAGAGCCAAUCCUUGGUUCUUGGGCCCAAGGCUGGACCCAGGGGUUGCAGGAAACAGUCUGUAGCAUCCAAGUGGGGCCUGUCGUACCCACUCCAGUGUGUAGGUGCAGAACGCUCUUUGGGGGAUUUCUCUGCUGGGCCACCUUACUCCAGGGAUCCCUCAGUUUUCAAAACAAAGCAAGAGGGCAAGGAAGAAUGGAGAAACAGCUCAGUGUUGACUCUCUUCCCCCUGGUGAGUGCUGUGCUGGGGCCUCUGUGCACAUCAUACCACUUCCCCCUUGAAUCAGCCCCACAAGGCAGGGUGAGAGAUGAGGACUCAGGGUGCAAGGAGGUCUCACAGCUUGGAAAUGGAUCAGGACAGCUCUGAUUCUCCAAGGCCAAGGUCUUCUCUAUAUCAUGAGGCAGCCCAAAAAUGUGUUUCUACACAUAUUCUGUGUAGAAACUCAGGCCAGGCUCCUAUAUGCUCUGGGUGACAGCGGGAAGGUGCUUUCCAGUGUGUAUCAGUGUGGCCCAUCUGGGAGUCAUAAUGUCAUUGCCUCUUCCAAAAUAUCAGCAAAGCUGACCCUAGUGCUUGUAGUGCUCAAAUGCACCUCUCUGCCUUUGUGCCAUAGGGAAAUGGAUUUGGUCCUGGGGGUGGUGAUACCAACUUCUGUCUCAAUUCCAUGACCCUCACUCAGCACCCCCACCCCAGGCCUGUGCAGAGGAGGAAUAACCGUCCUUGAGAACCAUCCAGCCCUAGGUGGAGAAAUUAGAUUUAUGGACUUAAUCAGUUCUUCUUCCCUGUCAGUGGUGGUGAGAAUGAAAUGGGGGAAAUUGAUAAGCCUCAGUCAUGUUUUCCUGCGAGACAAGGCAGCUUUGGUAGCUGGUGGGACUGACGCCUUCUUCACCUGUGUCCUCUGCCUCUGAGUGACUAUAAAUUGCGAACCCCAUGAGGUGGCACCUGCAGCCACAGAUCGCUUAGGCACCUUGCACAGGGGGCCACCUAAUGAACUGGCUGCAGGACGGCAAUCCUGCUGUGAAGCCAGGCACCUCGGGAGGGGCAAGGUGGCAGAACCGAGAGAGCAGAUGCUCCUUGCUGUUUCUGUAAGGCCACCAGUGGCUGGGUGGCCUGGCCCUGGUAGCAAGGUGGUAACCGUGUGAGUGGCUGAAUCCUGCACCACUUUUCCUGAGCCUCCUUCCUCCUGGAUUCCUGCAACUAUAUUCUCACUACAUGGCUCACCACCAAUUCGUUCUCUCUGCCCCAAGGAGGCUGGACAAGAGGCUCAGGUCAGUGCGGGUACGCAGGAACCUAUGUCUGUAAAAUGAAAAUGCCUGCCUUCAAGGGCUGUCUUGAGGUUGAAAGGAGAUGGUCUACAUCAAGGGUUAGGAAGACCACAAUGUGGCUGUGCCGGCCACCUCCAGGCUGGCUUCAGUCUCCCAUCCCCAUAGUCAUACCCCUGUGAAGUCCCUUCCCAUACUGAAUCGGGCUACCUGUGUAUCUUAUAGGGUGUUGGAAAUGACAGAUUGUGAAUUCCAAGGCCCCAUAAAAGACAGCGUGGGCUGGGCGUGGUGGCUCACGCCUGUAAUCCCAGCACUUUGGGAGGCCGAGCCAAGUGGAUCACUUGAGGUCAGGAGUUCUAGACCAGCCUGGCCAGCAUGGUGAAAACCUAUCUCUACUAAAAAUACAAAAAAAAAAAAAAAUUUAGCCAGGUGUGUUGGCACCUGUGCCUGUAGUCCCAGAUACUUGGGAGGCUGAGCCAGGAGAAUCACUUGAACCUGAGAGGUGGAGGUUUCAGUGAGCCGAGAUUGUGCCACUGCACUCCAGCUGGGUGGCAGAGACUCUGUCUCUAAACAAAGAAAAUGUGGUUUCUGCUGUCCUUUCUCUUGGAUCACUUUCUCUGGGAAACCAGCCACCAUCUUGUGAGGACACUCAAGCUCUCUGGAAAGGUUCAGAAAUGUGGUGAGGAAGUGAGACAGACCUCUUGCCAAAAACCAUGUACUAACUUAUCAGUCACGUACAUGAGUUGACUUAGAAAUGACUCUAUCAGCCUCAGCCAAACCUUCAGAUGACUGCAGCCCUGGUCAACAUCUUGACUGUGACCCCAUGGAAGACCCUGAAACACUCAGCCAAGCCACUCUCAGCUUCCUGAUCCACAGAAGCAGCAUGAAAUAAUAAAUUUUUCUUGUUUUAAACUAAGUUUUGGGUUAAUUUGUUAUACAGCUGUAGAUAACUCCAAGAAUAAUACUCCAUAAAUGUUGAUUUCCUUUCUGCGGCUCCACUGAGUCAUCUUUGUUCAUGGGCAAAGCUCACUGUCUCUCUACUGGCUGCAAAAGAUGUCCAUUUGUUGGCUCUGACUCAUGCUUGUGGUCUUGUUGGCUCACAGCAAGGCCUUUUCACAGAGGAUGGUGGUUUGUCACACUCAGAAUCCAGGUCUUACCUGCUUUCCUGCUCCAUGGAAUUUUGACCUGAGUUUGAAGGCUGAUAGGGGAUUGAUGGAUGAGGGAGAAAGACACAGUCAGUUCUUAGAGCAGUAGCUAAUCCAGGGGUUUCUCUGGCUUUGUUUGCAUGAGUAGUGAUAGUUGGGGAUGAAGCAUGGGUAUUCGAGAUCUUUUUUGUGUGAGUAUGGGAGGAAAAAUUCUGUUCUCUUCCUCCUCCAUCUUUAUUCAUCUUUGUCUUCCCUCGGAUCAGCUUUAAAGACCCCUGAGACUCUAGGACUUGGUUUGCUUUUUUCUCACCACUGGGAUCCAUCUCCCACUAGUAGGAAGAAGGAUCUAAGUAGUUGAGCUGCAUAAAGGGGAAGUAAACAGCCAGACAAAUGUUACAUUUUAGAGCCUUGAGUGACCCAGAGCUUUCUAUCAGCUUCAUUGGGUGCAGGGAGGGUAGCGAUUUCUGGCUGCUGUCACCUCCUUGCUCAUAUCAGGAAGCGCUAAUUUUGAGGCAAAGUUCAGUGCCCUCUGGCUCACCUAGGGCCCCUGUUGCCUAAUUUCACGAGGCCAAGAGUUUGAGGGUGGGUUCGGGGCUGCGCAGCCUGGAUGCCUUGGUUUGCAUGCCUACAGCAGCUGUGCCCGAAAGCUUUUUUUAGAGUAAAUAUGUAGCUUUUGCUAGGCUUUUUGUGUGCCUUGUUCAUUCCUCUAUCAUUUUUUGUAUACCUGCUAUGGUGUCAGGCACUGGGGAUACAAAUUAGCCGGGGACUCGGACAUGUAAGCAAGUAAGCCCAACAGCAGCUAACAUUUAUGCAGUGCUCACUGUGUGCUUGGAUGUCCAGAGUGAUAGAGCAGGUUUAGUAAGGGGGACAGAGGGCUGAGACCAGAGGCAAGGUGGAGAAGGGCAUUUCUGGAGGCAGCAACAUGAGUGCAAAGGAGACAUACACAAGGUUCCCUGGGGGAUUCCAAGUUGUUGCUGUCGUGGCUUCAAAUCUUACUUUAGGGCCUACUCAGAUGGCAUCUUGUUCAUGAAGAUGUGCCUGUUUUUUGUUUUAUUUGUCCCUCUCCCCCCAACAAAGAGUAAACUUUUUUUCUGAACUUCUCGAAAGUUUGCUAACAUCAGCUAUAAAACUCUCUGGGCCUGGGGAUAUUUUGCGGGGAGCAGGGAAGAUCUUUGAUUAUCAUUUUAACUUAUUUCUGUUCAUUUAUUCAAGCUUUUUCUUCUUUCACCAAUUCUCAAAAGCCCCACACCACCCUCCUGCCACCCCCACACCCCUCCACUUCCAGUCGCUACCUUCCACCCAUCAUUCUCACUUCUAAAGCCAUCAACAGAGGUUUUGAACACCACUCAUGUGCCAGGUGUUGUUCUAAGCACAGAUUCAUCAGUGAGCCAAAUGAAAUUCCUUCCUAAAAUAUGCUCUUUGGUGGUGCUAAAUGCCAGGAAGAAAAGUAAGCAAGGGGAGGGAAGAGAGAGGUGUGGGGUGGCGGGGGGCGGGAGCUUGGAUAGGAUGGUCAGAAAGGACCUCUUUGUAGAAACUUAAAUAAAUUUAGAAAGCAAGUCAUGUAAUAUCUGGGAAAGAGGAAAUAGCAGGUGCAAAGACCCUGAGGUUGAAGUGUCCUGGCAAGUUUGAGGCAAGCAAGGAAGGCAGGGUGGUUGGAACAGAACAAGAGAAGAAACGUGGUAGGAAAUGAUGGAGAGUCAGGGGCACGACCUUGGAGGACUUGCAGGUCAUGGUAAAGACGCUGGACUCGACACGAAGUGUGAACAGAGUUCUUGGAGGAUUCUGAGGUAGAGAGUAGCAUAAUCUCAUUUGUGUUUUUAUUUUAACAUGCUCACUUGGGCCACCUUGUAGAGGCUGGAGUGAAAAGGAGGGAGACUAGUUAGAAAUUCUGUAUUGCUGGCUGGGCGUGGUAGCUCCCGGCACUGUGGGAGGCCAAGGCCAGAGGAUUGCUUGAGUCUAGCAGUUUGAGCCCAGCCUAGGCAACAUAGCGAGACCCUGUCUCUGCAAAAAAUUUUAAAAUUGCCCAGGGAUGGUGGUGCACACUUGUAAUCCCAACUACUUGGGAGGCUGAGGUGGGAGGAUUGCCUGAGCCCAGGAGUUUGAGGCUCCAGUGAGCUGUGAUUGUGCCAUUGCACUCCAGCCUGGGUGACAGAGCGAGACCCUGUCUCUAAAAAAAAAAGAAAAAAAAGAAAUUCUGUAUUGCAGCAGCCUAAGAGAGUCAUUAGUUAAGAGAUUUGUAGUAGGCAUUUUUUAGAAAGUUGCAUUGAGGGCUAGGUACGGUGGCUCAUGCCUAUAAUCCCAGCACUUUGGGAGGCCAAGGUGGGUAGAUCAUUUGAGGUCAGGAGCCUGGCCAACAUAGCGAAACCCCGUCUCUACUAAAAAAAUUAGCCGGGCGGUAGUGGCAUGCGCCUGUAAUCCCAGCUACUCGGGAGGCUGAGGCAGGAGAAUUGCUUGAGCCUGGGAGGUGGAGGUUGCCAGUGAGUCGAGAUCGCGCCACUGCACUCCAGCAGUCUGGGCGACAGAGUGAGACGCUGUUUCAAAAAAAAAAA